GCGUGGGAGGGGACGUGCAGCCCACUGCGCUACUGUUGGCUCCGGUUACGUGAAUUAGUGAGGGCUUCGCACUUCUUCCCCAGGCUUCAGUGUCACCUCUUUUCACACGGGCACCCCGAGGGCCCGGACUGGAAAAGCGAGCCUGCCAUCUCAAGACUGGGCGCCCCUGCCCGCCUCUUAGUGCCCGUGUGGCUCCAUCCUGGGUGUGGGAGCGGCGGGGCUUCCGGGGAGGACGCUGGGACGCGCGGACGAGGCUCCCGGUUUAGGGAAUGGGUGGCUUUCGGAGGCUCCUGGGGGCCCGGCAUGCCCGCUGCUUGCGGGGCGUCCCAGGCUGUGCAGGAUCCCUGAGACGCUGCACCUGGGGCCUCAUAACGCGUAUGUUUUCAUUCGGGCGCUCUGGGUGGGCCUGAGACUUGGCGUUUCUCACAGGUUCCCAGGAGGUUCCUUGGAGUAGCCAGGAGGUGGAGAAAUAGCCCGGGCCGUUUGCAAGCUUUGAAGGAUUCAAAUAUUUUGCAUGCUUCUUGAGAAGUGAGUGCCUAGACACGUGUUGAUGAUGCUUAGUGGGAAAACGUGCUGAAAUAGCCCGUGAAAAGACAAAGUAUGAAACAGAACCAGGAACUCAGCACAGAAAAAGAGUCAAACACUUUUACAUGCUGCUGGAGCUCAUAGUGGUCAGGAAAAUUUUUUAAAAUAGGUGAGAAACCCACUUUUACAUGGUGUAGUGUUUUUUAAAAAGUUAUUGUCACUUUUUAAUAUAGGAGGUUGGAAUAUUUUGUGGGAAAACAUGGAGGAUAAGUCAUUACUCUUAGAAUUUCAAGUUUUCAGACACUAAUUGAUUUUCAUUUUUAUAUUGUACCAGUGUCUGCCUGUUUCCUCCAUCCCUGUCCUCCUGCCCCAGGGCCCCACUUGGGAUGUACCCCGUCAACCGUGGCCUGCUCUGCCUUGUCUGUGUAGUUAUCCUGGCUCUUGCAACUACCCAUGGCUCUCACGUGUUUACCUGCCUCUUCAGUGCCUGAUGCUCUAGCUACUAAGAGUGUCUGUUGAAUGAAUGAGCAGUGUGCUUGUUUGCUGCUCCAGCUACUUGUUCCAUAGCUCCACGUUUGCUGGUGCUUUCCUCUGCCUAAAAUACCUUUUCCUUCCUCACCUGGCUUCUCUCCUGACACCUCCACCUCCUUACCCCUCAGGGUUCCUUCCUUUGUUCCAGUCGCUUGUAUUGCUUUAUCCUGCACUUGUCACAUUAUAGAAAAAUUACCUGUUUGUAUCUGCCUCCCUUCCCGACUGUGAGCUCCUCAAAGGCUGGAGUCCCGUCUGAUCACUGACACCAGGCACAGCACAAGCCGACAGAACUGUUUCAGCCCUUAGGCAACGGAGGGAAAAUGACUGGGGCUGACAGGCUUUUAAAAUGCUCAUCAAAAUGUUUGAGACAUAAAAACAAUAUUGUUGGCUCCAAAAUAUUUUUUUUAAUCUGCAAAAUCAAAGCUAAAAAUGUUUAAUGAAGUAGCUCUGAAAUACUGCAAUGUCAAUGUCAUUAAUUAUUAAAGGUGGUAUUGACAUACAGUUUGUUCCAUUCUAAAACAGUUUGUAGAUAGACUUUCUCAGUUAGCAAAAAUCCUCCCAGCAGGCAAUGAUUUCUGAGAAAAAUCCCAGUCAUUUGUAAAUUCAGGUAGUUAUUUGUAUAGUUUCCAAAACGUUAUAGCAAGACAAUUUUAAGUUAGGCAAAUGUGGUUGGGGCUCCUGCCAGAAGAACAAGUGGCCAGGAUGCUCACGGUUCUUAUCUAGCCUCACGGGCAGAGCAUGCCAAACUUGAAAACCUCUCAACUCAGGGACCAUUUGGGGAAUAUGCUUUUCAGUUUGCCAUGGGCGCUUCCACAACCUAAUGUCUUACCCGUCACCAGCCUCAUUUGUUUACUUUCUGGAUCUUAGAAAGUUUUGAAUUUCUGGCUCCUGAUCCUAGACUUUUAGAGCUGAAAGAGAUUUGAGGUCAUCUGAGCCAAUCUCUUGCCUCUUUAGAUGAGAGCAAUGCCGUCCAGAAAGGAGAAUAGGAUCGACUUGUUGAACAUCAUACAAAGGUAGUUACAAAGUUAGGACUAGUACCCAGGUCUCCUACCUUAGCUUUCUAAAAAGUCAAAUAGUAGACAUAGGCCAGUGGAUUUGAAGUUGUCUCAUAAUCACCUGAGGAACUUGUUAAGCAAACAGAUCCUCCAGCCACCUCCAGAAUCUAGUAUCUCUGGGGUAGUGCUGAUUCGUGUACAUUUUUACUGCAAUUGUUACGUUUCUGACAACCUUGCCCUGUAGAUUAUACCUUUGGAUAGUGGUCUCCAAAGACAAUCCCCUGGGGUGCAGGAAGACUGUUUUUUUUUUUUUAAUCUGACAAGUAAAGGCAAAAUUAAGCUUUACUAAUAUGUAAUUUAUGGAUUGACACAGGUGCCCUUCCUUGGGCCAUGGUGAGCUGGUCACAUAAGAUUGGGUUAUACUGACAAACCCAAUGAUCCCCAAGUGUCAGUGGCUUACAGCUGGGUUAGCCAGGUCAGUGGCUUACAGCUGGGUUAACCAGGUCAGUGGCUUACAGCUGGGUUAGCCAGGUCAGUGGCUUACAGCUGGGUUAGCCAGGUCAGUGGCUUACAGCUGGGUUAACCAGGUCAGUGGCUUACAGCUGGGUUAGCCAGGUCAGUGGCUUACAGCUGGGUUAGCCAGAGAAAGAACAGGAUGCAAAGUUAAAUUUGAAUUUCAGAUAAACAGUGAAAAAAUUUUUAGGAUGAGAAUGUCCCAAAUAUUUAGCAUAAGUAUGUCCCAUCUGAUGAAGCAGCCUCAAUCUGGAACAUUGCCAGUUGCAGUAGCAGAGACAAAAAGAGGUUGGUGCAUUGCAGACUAGCUCCAAAAGCUUUUGGUCAGAAGUGGCAAACAUCACUGCCAUUCAUUUUUUUUUUUUUUUGGCCAAAUAAAUCACAUGGCCAAGCCAAGCAUACGUGUGGCAGGGGAGACUGGACCCUAAGGAGGGAUGUUGGUUAUCCAUGACCAUUAUGCAGUCUACCACAGGCAUAUAUGGUGGCUUGGAUAGGCUAUUGGAUGCCAUUCACAAGGCCAAAUUUGGUGAAAAAGCAAAGCCUUUUGCAGAAUCUUUUCAGAGUUUUGUGAUGAGGGGUGUCUUAGUCUGUUUUGUGUCAUGAUAACAGAAUACCUAAGAUUGGGUAAUUUAUUUUUAGAAAAGGUUGAUUUAGUUCAUGGUUCUGCAGGCUGGGAAGUUGAAGCACAUGGCUCUGGCUUCUGGUGAGAGGUUUCAGGCUGUGUCAUAAUAUGGCAGAGAAGAUCAGUGGGUAAGUGGACAUGUGUGAAGAGAGGCAAAACCAGGUGGGUGUUCUGACUUUGUAACAACCCACUCUUGCAGAACUAACCAAUUCCUGAGAGAACUACCACACUGAGAUCAAAUUUCAACAUGAGUUUGGUGGGGACAUACAUAUAUCCAGAUCACAGCAAGGAGUGACCUUGAAAAUCUUGUAUCCCACAGAGAUCACAGAUCAUCAGUAGUAAAGCAUUCAAAAGAAUUGUCAAGCUUGAAAAUGAGUUACUAUAUUUUCUUUUAUAAAGAGUGUUCUACAUUUUCUCAUCUUAUCUGUGAUGACAUGUAGCUGUCAUUAGGAUGAUACCCAAGCGAAAGUUUCACAAAAACAAACAGACUGAAUCUGUUUCUUCAAAACAAAGGUGAUGUUUUAACAAUGAGUAGGCCAGGCGGGUGGCUCACGCCUGUAAUCCCAGCACUUUGGGAGGCCGAGGCGGGCGGAUCACAAGGUCAGGAGAUUGAGACCAUCCUGGCUAACACGGUGAAACCCCAUCUCUACUAAAAAAUACAAA